GAGCGUGCGUCCUAUUAGCUAGUUGGAGAGGUAACGGCUCACCAAGGCUACGAUGGGUAGGGGUUCUUAGUGGAAGGUCCCCCACACUGGCACUGAGAUACGGGCCAGACUCCUACGGGAGGCAGCAGUAGGGAAUAUUGGUCAAUGGGCGCAAGCCUGAACCAGCCAUGCCGCGUGCAGGAUGAAAGCUCUCUGAGUUGUAAACUGCUUUUGUACAGGAGCAAAAAAGCCCCUGCGGGGGUUCUUGAGAGUACUGUAAGAAUAAGCACCGGCUAAUUCCGUGCCAGCAGCCGCGGUAAUACGGAAGGUGCAAGCGUUAUCCGGUUUUAUUGGGUUUAAAGGGUGCGUAGGCGGCUUAUUAAGUCAGUUGUGAAAUCCUAGUGCUUAACGCUAGAACUGCGAUUGAUACUAUUAGGCUUGAGUUA
rnacentral:rRNA from 1 species